rnacentral:rRNA from 1 species
GAUGAACGCUGGCGGCGUGCCUAAUACAUGCAAGUAGAACGCCGUUGCGUACGGGUGAGUAACGCGUAGGUAAAUGCCUCAUAGCGGGGGAUGAUUAUUGGAAACGAUAGCUAAUACCGCAUACUGUGAGAUGGUGGUGAGUUGUCUGAGCUAGUUGGUGAGGUAAAGUCUCACCAAGGAGACGAUACAUAGCCGCCCUGGGAGGGUGAUCGGCCCCACUUGGACGGGUGCACGGCCCAGACUCCUACGGGAGGCAGCAGUUGCUAAUCUUGGGGAAUGGACGGAAGUCUGACCGAGCAACGCCGCGUGAGUGAAGACGGUUUUCGGGUCGGAAAGCUCUGUUUUUAGAGAAGCGGUAACUAACCAGAAAGGGACGGCUAACUACGUGCCAGCAGCCGCGGUAAUAC